rnacentral:rRNA from 1 species
ACUUUACAAUGCUGGCAACAGCGAUAAGGGAACCUCGAGUGCCAGGUUACAAAUCUGGCUGUCGAGAUGCCUAAAAAGCAUUUCAUAGCAAGGGCCGGGCAAGACCGGUGCCAGCCGCCGCGGUAACACCGGCGGCUCGAGUGGUAACCGUUAUUAUUGGGUCUAAAGGGUCUGUAGCCGGCCGGAUAAGUCUCUUGAGAAAUCUGGCAGCUUAACUGUCAGGCUUUCAGGAGAUACUGUCUGGCUCGAGGCCGGGAGAGGUGAGAGGUACGGGAGGGGGAGGGGUGACAGCGUGGAAUGCGUGAAGGGGCAAGAGUGGCGAAGGGGUGUCACGAGAAGGGACCGGAAGGCAAGGGGCGAAAGCUAGGGGG